ACCCAGCUGAAGAGUUCCAAAUAAGACGAAACGCGCGUCCUGGAU
rnacentral:hammerhead_ribozyme from 1 species